UACGUAGGGUCCGAGCGUUGUCCGGAAUUAUUGGGCGUAAAGGGCUCGUAGGCGGUUUGUCGCGUCGGGAGUGAAAACUCAGGGCUUAACCCUGAGCCUGCUUCCGAUACGGGCAGACUAGAGGUAUGCAGGGGAGAACGGAAUUCCUGGUGUAGCGGUGAAAUGCGCAGAUAUCAGGAGGAACACCGGUGGCGAAGGCGGUCUCUGGGCAUUACCUGACGCUGAGGAGCGAAAGUGUGGGAGCGAACAGG
rnacentral:rRNA from 1 species